rnacentral:lncRNA from 10 species
CAGAGAUGAAACAAUGGCAUAUCAAAGGACUUAUCCUCUACUUGGGUACAGAGCACAAAAGAAUAAUUUAAAUCACUGAUUUAAUAAAAGAAAAGAGAUCCAUACCCCCAACAUGGCUCUUGUUCUGUCCAAGUGGUAUCAUGCAAUCAUCAGGUUACCUAGAGAAAUUGGCACAAAGAGGGCAGAAUAUUGGCUUAAAGACGCCACAAGAGCUGGAAUCCCUGGGUGGCCAGAGGGAUGGCCUCUGGAGUCCUAUGUCACAGCCAUAGGCAGGGUGGCAGAGAAUGUGGGUGCAAAUGUAGAAGAGUAAAGUAAAGAUGGGGACUUGUGGAAGUGCCUCUCUGACUGUCUCAU